AGAGUUUGAUCAUGGCUCAGGACGAACGCUGGCGGCGUGCUUAACACAUGCAAGUCGAGCGAGGCCCAUUCUUCGGGGUGGUGCCCUAGCGGCGAACGGGUGAGUAACACGUGGGCAACCUGCCCUCAGCUCUGGGAUAACUCCAAGAAAUUGGUGCUAAUACCGGAUGUGACCGCUGACCGCAUGGUCUGGUGGUGGAAAGAUUCAUCGGCUGAGGAUGGGCCCGCGGCCUAUCAGCUUGUUGGUGGGGUGAUGGCCCACCAAGGCGACGACGGGUAGCCGGCCUGAGAGGGUGACCGGCCACACUGGGACUGAGACACGGCCCAGACUCCUACGGGAGGCAGCAGUGGGGAAUAUUGCGCAAUGGGCGAAAGCCUGACGCAGCGACGCCGCGUGAGGGAUGACGGCCUUCGGGUUGUAAACCUCUUUCAGCAGGGACGAAGCGCAAGUGACGGUACCUGCAGAAGAAGCACCGGCCAACUACGUGCCAGCAGCCGCGGUAAUACGUAGGGUGCAAGCGUUGUCCGGAAUUAUUGGGCGUAAAGAGCUCGUAGGCGGUCUGUCACGUCGGCUGUGAAAACCCGAGGCUCAACCUCGGGCCUGCAGUCGAUACGGGCAAACUAGAGUGUUGCAGGGGAGACUGGAAUUCCUGGUGUAGCGGUGAAAUGCGCAGAUAUCAGGAGGAACACCGGUGGCGAAGGCGGGUCUCUGGGCAACAACUGACGCUGAGGAGCGAAAGCGUGGGGAGCGAACAGGAUUAGAUACCCUAGUAGUCC
rnacentral:rRNA from 1 species